rnacentral:rRNA from 1 species
UACGGAGGAUGCAAGCGUUAUCCGGAAUGAUUGGGCGUAAAGCGUCCGCAGGUGGCUAUGUAAGUCUGCUGUUAAAGAGUGAGGCUCAACCUCAUAAGAGCAGUGGAAACUACAUGGCUAGAGUGCGUUCGGGGCAGAGGGAAUUCCUGGUGUAGCGGUGAAAUGCGUAGAUAUCAGGAAGAACACCGGUGGCGAAAGCGCUCUGCUGGACCUUAACUGACACUGAGGGACGAAAGCUAGGGGAGCGAAUGGG